rnacentral:lncRNA from 9 species
CUGCAGGUUUGGGGUGGAAAUGCUACCUAAUUGGGUGGUGAUGAUCAUGAUACAAUGAUAAAUGCCGUGAAAUUCAAUGAGUUAAAAAAAGAAAUUGCUUGCAUAUCUACACCCUCGUCACAAACUCUCAGCAGAGGAGUUUAGGAAAGGAAGAGGUUGAGAAAUCAAGACAACACCCUCGUGGACAGUGACAUUCACAAAAAUAAAACACCUGGGAGUACAUUCUGACCCAGCAGGUCAAAGACCCGGAUUCGGAAAACUGAAAGAACUUGGUGAAAGACGCUGAAGGCAAUACAAAGAAAUGAACCGCUCAAGGAGUUCCCAUCGUGGCUGUGUGCUGUGCUGCGUUAGUGUCACGCUGCUGAGACUUGGCAUGGGGUUGGGGGUGAGCUGGAGCAGCCCAGAGGUACCCUUGGGGAGCUUGGUGGAAGGAGGAAGCCCGGCGAAGGGGACCCCAGGAAGUGACCUCACUUCCCUGGCAACAGAGCCCAACAGAACUUGGAACCUGGGUGGCCAGGCACCCAUUUCUCCAGGAAAGGACAGAGGAAGGAUGGACUUGCUCUGUUGCGCCCCCAUCUCCCGAGGCCGAAGCCGCAGGAGAGGGCCCAGAGGAGGAAACCUCAUCGAAAGCAGCAGACGAUGGAUCAGCACCCAGGGCAGACGCCUUCGGGCCUUUGCCCGCAGGGGCCCAGAGAGCCCCCCACCUGAGCCCCGCCAGGAGCUGGGCGAGGAAGGCAGAAGGUCUCCAGUUGAAACGCCCCCCAGGCCGCCCCCCAGGGGCCUCUCCCGAGCUCACAGGGAGCUCAGAACAUCCGGCUCUGAGACCGAGGACAGAGACCACCUGGGCCUGAGACCCCUGGAUGGCCUGGCCCCCCCUGAGGCCCAGCCUGAAGCUCCCGCAGGAGACCCGCAGCCAGAGGCGAAGACACCACCCGGGCAGGACGAACCUGCAGCCUCUCUGGCCCCAGCCCCAGACACUGACGGGCAUUUUCCUCCACUGGAGGAAAACGGUUCUCCGGCUCCUGCAGGAGACCAAGGGCCACAGGAGAAUCCAGCAGCAGCCCUGCAGGAAGAGCCUGCACUGACUGCUCCAGCGGCCCCUAGACUAAGUCCUGAGCUGGCUCAGGCAAGAGCCCCAGGCCAAUUUCCAAAACCACCUUCCCCAAGGCCCCCUCCGCCCCUGCAAGUGCCCUCCCCAGCAGCUCCCCAAAAGCCCCACUCACCCUCUCCCCCUCCCGAAAUGUACUCUCCUUCCCCUCUCGCCAUUUGUCUUUGGAUGUGUAUUGAUUUCCUAUUUCUCUUCCAUGUUAUGUAUGGUGUAAUUUACUUCAUGUUUUAGAAAUAAAAUUUGCAAGUUGCACCGUGUCCCCUUUGCAUUGGGGUGUUAGACAGGCUCCCCUUCCUCCAAGCCCCCUGGACCAGGAAAUGAUGGGGGAGGGGACUUCAUGGGAUCCAAGAGGGACUAUGGGCAGAAGAUGAGGAGACACGGGACAGGCAGGAAACGUCGUCCCCGAUGUCCACUAGCUCACCCAGGGCCUUGGAACAUCCUGGGAACUGAAGGGAUGGCUUCCUCCACACUGAGUGGGAAACCCAUCCAGAGCCCUGAGAACCACACAGGCAUCAGGGAUUCUGGAGCCUGGGCUGAG